GGUGCGGGGUCGCAUGUGAGCCGUGCCCGGGGCUCCCGUGGUGCCCGGUGUGGGGGCAGCGCGGGGCCUGCUGGCUGCUGUGAGAGCCCAGUAAGUGGCUGUGCAGGGCAGGGAGCCCCAGCGUACACACAAACUUGUAAUUGUUACAUCAUCUAUACCUGGGGUCGUGAGAGACCCCCACAGCCUCGUCUGUAGUCGCGGUACUCGGGGAACGUGACGUGUGUUUUUUUAUCUUUUGGCUUGUUGACUCGAAGGGUUGUGACUAAUUUGGAAAAACGCUAGGUCAUCUCUGUUUCCUGUCAGCCUGUGGGAGGAAUCGCCGCUCACGAAGGGUGACAUGGCUUUUGCUCUAAAAUUUCAAAUUUCAGUAGUGCCCUCUCCAGAAUGCAAGCUUCAGACUUCUCUUUUGCUUUACUGUUUUUAUUAUUUCAACUCACAUUAUGUUCUGUAAGUUUUUAAUACAAAAAUCUUUGUGAUUCAUGCCUUGAAUUGAAUAUUUCAAAGAUUCCUUAAACUGUAAGUUGUAAAUGUUCUGGCAGGCCAGGCCAUAAGUUUAGCUUGGUCAAAAGAUGAACAAGCCAACAAACCUCUCUUAACGACAACGGAGGCAUCUUGUUUAAGAUAGAUUUCUUCACCAGAUGCAUGAUUAUUUUUCAAGCUGAGUCUAUGUACAAAUAUAACUGUUUUUUAGCCAGAUCAUUGCAAAUUGAGACGAUUUUUAAUAAAAGAUGUGAGCUAAUUAUGAUCAUUUUCACGAAGGAGUACCUUAACUUCAGUCUGCCCAAGAUCAAUAUAUGCUCUUCUUAAAACUACUUUGUUUUCCUAAAAAAAAAACUAGGAAAUCAUUCACUGCUCAGAUGUUAAAGAGGACAAACAAAAACCUUUUAUAAGCCUGCAGCUACCCCAGCAGAGCUUCACAAGUGCUCACAGCCUCCCACUGAAUGUGCUGCUUGUCCAUGUCUAUCUUUCCUUGGGAAGGAGACCCAGCAGUCCCUCAGAGCACCGCUUUCUUGUGAUCUCAGGCUGUGAUGCAUGAAAGCAUACAGGAGAUUAAGACUAGAUUAUUUCUGUGAUGAGAAAAUAGAAGAACCAAAUAAAAUACCAAAACCAGAGCUGCAGAGGCCACUGAUGGGGAACUGGUAGUCACCUGUGGGCCCACGCAUUUCUGUACUGGCUUAAGGAGGCUGGAUGGUUCCGAGGGGCAACCAAGCCAGUCUUUUUGCUGCGGGUGGGAAGAACUAUACGUGCCGGAUCUCCUCCCAAGCUGGCUCUCAAAAAAAACAAACAAACAAAAAAAACCCUUCAGUUCUAUGGUUUUCAGAACUAGUUGCUGCCCUCAAACAAUGGCAGAUUCACAUAUCAAAUCAUACGUGUCCUGAUUCUCUAGAUGCUCUUCACAGUUAAUGAGAAUGCUCAUGGAAUUCAGCCUUUGUGUAAGAAAGACCUUCUGACAUGCAUCUUCCAUUAUGGCUAAACAGCCACAGAUAGUUAAUGCUUUUUUAGACAUUCCCAGUCCUUAUUAAUAUGAGAAUGAAGCAUGCUGUCAAAUUGUUCACUUGGUGACAAGUCUUUUGAUCCUGUUGGCUGAAGCAUUUUUAACUAGAAUUUAGAACGUUAAGCUAUUUAGGCAGCU